UACGUAGGGUCCGAGCGUUGUCCGGAUUUAUUGGGCGUAAAGAGCUCGUAGGCGGUUCCGUAAGUCAGAUGUGAAAACUCAGGGCUCAACCCGGAGACGCCACCUGAUACUGCGGUGACUGGAGUCUGGUAGGGGAUCACGGAAUACCUGGUGUAGCGGUGAAAUGCGCAGAUAUCAGGUGGAACACCGAUGGCGAAGGCAGUGAUCUGGGCCAGUACUGACGCUGAGGAGCGAAAGCGUGGGGAGCAAACAGG
rnacentral:rRNA from 1 species